CAGCAGCCGCGGUAAUACGUAGGGUGCGAGCGUUAAUCAGAAUUACUGGGCGUAAAGCGUGCGCAGGCGGUUUGUUAAGACAGAUGUGAAAUCCCCGGGCUUAACCUGGGAACUGCAUUUGUGACUGGCAAGCUAGAGUAUGGCAGAGGGAGGUGGAAUUCCGCGUGUAGCAGUGAAAUGCGUAGAGAUGCGGAGGAACACCGAUGGCGAAGGCAGCCUCCUGGGCCAAUACUGACGCUCAUGCACGAAAGCGUGGGGAGCAAACAGGAUUAGAUACCCCCGUAGUCCCUGUCUCUUAUAC
rnacentral:rRNA from 1 species